rnacentral:rRNA from 1 species
GACGAACCGUGCGAACGUUGUUCGGAAUCACUGGGCCUAAAGGGCGCGUAGGCGGGUCGCCAAGUCCGUGGUGAAAUCCCUGGGCUCAACCCAGGAACUGCGUCCGAUACUGGAAGGCUUGAAUCCGGGAGAGGGAUGCGGAAUUCCAGGUGUAGCGGUGAAAUGCGUAGAUAUCUGGAGGAACACCGGUGGCGAAGGCGGCAUCCUGGACCAAUAUUGACGCUGAGGUGCGAAAGCGUGGGGGAGCAAACAGG